rnacentral:rRNA from 1 species
GGUUAAGUUAGAAAGGGCGCACGGUGGAUGCCUUGGCACUAGGAGCCGAAGAAGGACGGGACUAACACCGAUAUGCUUUGGGGAGCUGUACGUAAGCGUUGAUCCAGAGAUUUCCGAAUGGGGGAACCCACUAUCUUUAGUCGGAUAGUAUCCUUACGUGAAUACAUAGCGUGAGGAAGGCAGACCCAGGGAACUGAAACAUCUAAGUACCUGGAGGAAGAGAAAGAAAAAUCGAUUUCCUGAGUAGCGGCGAGCGAAACGGAAAGAGCCCAAACCAAGAAGCUUGCUUCUUGGGGUUGUAGGACACUCUAUACGGAGUUACAAAAGAAAGUUAUAAA